GUCUUAGCUAAGCUACCAUAACCAAAAGUCCACCAGACCUGAAGAUAGUCAUGUCUUGCGCAGACACUUGAAGGGAACAGAGCAGCAAGACAAGGAACACAAAGCCUGAGACCAAACCCUGCAUAGAAGCACUCUUUCAGACAGGCCACCUUGUACCCAGCCGCAAAGCCCAAAAGGAUAGACACUCCAUAAAUUUCUCGUGUAACACAGGAUUGAAAGUAUUCAUGUACUACCGAAUAAUAAUUGUCAUGUGUGUAUUUAUUGAAAAUGCAAAGCACCCUAUGGGUCAUAGUAUCCGACCCUCC